CUCGUAGGUGGCCAACUAAGUCAGACGUGAAAUCCCUCGGCUUAACCGGGGAACUGCGUCUGAUACUGGAUGGCUUGAGUUUGGGAGGAGGGACGCGGAAUUCCAGGUGUAGCGGUGAAAUGCGUAGAUAUCUGGAGGAACACCGGUGGCGAAGGCGGCGUCCUGGACCAACACUGACACUGAUGAGCGAAAGCCAGGGAGCAAACG
rnacentral:rRNA from 1 species